rnacentral:miRNA from 1 species
UGAUGAUGAUGAUGAUGAUGAUGAUGAUGAUGAUGUUGUUGUUGUCGUCAUCAUCCCAUUACCCACAAUC